rnacentral:rRNA from 1 species
GACGAACGCUGGCGGCGUGCUUAACACAUGCAAGUCGAACGGAAAGGCCCUGCUUUUGUGGGGUGCUCGAGUGGCGAACGGGUGAGUAACACGUGAGUAACCUGCCCUUGACUUUGGGAUAACUUCAGGAAACUGGGGCUAAUACCGGAUAGGAGCUCCUGCUGCAUGGUGGGGGUUGGAAAGUUUCGGCGGUUGGGGAUGGACUCGCGGCUUAUCAGCUUGUUGGUGGGGUAGUGGCUUACCAAGGCUUUGACGGGUAGCCGGCCUGAGAGGGUGACCGGCCACAUUGGGACUGAGAUACGGCCCAGACUCCUACGGGAGGCAGCAGUGGGGAAUAUUGCACAAUGGGCGGAAGCCUGAUGCAGCAACGCCGCGUGCGGGUGACGGCCUUCGGGUUGUAAACCGCUUUCGCCUGUGACGAAGCGUGAGUGACGGUAAUGGGUAAAGAAGCACCGGCUAACUACGUGCCAGCAGCCGCGGUGAUACGUAGGGUGCGAGCGUUGUCCGGAUUUAUUGGGCGUAAAGGGCUCGUAGGUGGUUGAUCGCGUCGGAAGUGUAAUCUUGGGGCUUAACCCUGAGCGUGCUUUCGAUACGGGUUGACUUGAGGAAGGUAGGGGAGAAUGGAAUUCCUGGUGGAGCGGUGGAAUGCGCAGAUAUCAGGAGGAACACCAGUGGCGAAGGCGGUUCUCUGGGCCUUUCCUGACGCUGAGGAGCGAAAGCGUGGGGAGCGAACAGGCUUAGAUACCCUGGUAGUCCACGCUGUAAACGGUGGGUACUAGGUGUGGGGUCCAUUCCACGGGUUCCGUGCCGUAGCUAACGCUUUAAGUACCCCGCCUGGGGAGUACGGCCGCAAGGCUAAAACUCAAAGGAAUUGACGGGGCCCCGCACAAGCGGCGGAGCAUGCGGAUUAAUUCGAUGCAACGCGUAGAACCUUACCUGGGUUUGACAUGGAUCGGGAGUGCUCAGAGAUGGGUGUGCCUCUUUUGGGGUCGGUUCACAGGUGGUGCAUGGCUGUCGUCAGCUCGUGUCGUGAGAUGUUGGGUUAAGUCCCGCAACGAGCGCAACCCUUGUUCACUGUUGCCAGCACGUUAUGGUGGGGACUCAGUGGAGACCGCCGGGGUCAACUCGGAGGAAGGUGGGGAUGACGUCAAGUCAUCAUGCCCCUUAUGUCCAGGGCUUCACGCAUGCUACAAUGGCUGGUACAGAGAGUGGCGAGCCUGUGAGGGUGAGCGAAUCUCGGAAAGCCGGUCUCAGUUCGGAUUGGGGUCUGCAACUCGACCUCAUGAAGUCGGAGUCGCUAGUAAUCGCAGAUCAGCAACGCUGCGGUGAAUACGUUCCCGGGGCU